CCUACGGGAGGCAGCAGUGGGGAAUUUUGGACAAUGGGCGAAAGCCUGAUCCAGCAAUGCCGCGUGAGUGAAGAAGGCCUUCGGGUUGUAAAGCUCUUUUGUCAGGGAAGAAACGGUGAGGGCUAAUAUCCCUUGCUAAUGACGGUACCUGAAGAAUAAGCACCGGCUAACUACGUGCCAGCAGCCGCGGUAAUACGUAGGGUGCAAGCGUUAAUCGGAAUUACUGGGCGUAAAGCGUGCGCAGGCGGUUUUGUAAGUCUGUCGUGAAAUCCCCGGGCUCAACCUGGGAAUUGCGAUGGAGACUGCAAGGCUAGAAUCUGGCAGAGGGGGGUAGAAUUCCACGUGUAGCAGUGAAAUGCGUAGAGAUGUGGAGGAACACCGAUGGCGAAGGCAGCCCCCUGGGUCAAGAUUGACGCUCAUGCACGAAAGCGUGGGGAGCAAACAGGAUUAGAUACCCUGGUAGUCCACGCCCUAAACGAUGUCUACUAGUUGUCGGGUUUUAAUUAACUUGGUAACGCAGCUAACGCGUGAAGUAGACCGCCUGGGGAGUACGGUCGCAAGNUUAAAACUCAAAUGAAUUGACCGGNUGAGAGNGCGAGACGACGACGAGGGAGGAGG
rnacentral:rRNA from 1 species